rnacentral:rRNA from 1 species
AUCGAACGCUGGCGGCAGGCUUAACACAUGCAAGUCGAGCGGAGCGAGGGUGCUUGCACCUUAGCUUAGCGGCGGACGGGUGAGUAAUGCUUAGGAAUCUGCCUAUUAGUGGGGGACAACAUUCCGAAAGGAAUGCUAAUACCGCAUACGUCCUACGGGGGAAAGCAGGGGAUCUUCGGACCUUGCGCUAAUAGAUGAGCCUAAGUCGGAUUAGCUAGUUGGUGGGGUAAAGGCCUACCAAGGCGACGAUCUGUAGCGGGUCUGAGAGGAUGAUCCGCCACACUGGGACUGAGACACGGCCCAGACUCCUACGGGAGGCAGCAGUGGGGAAUAUUGGACAAUGGGCGGAAGCCUGAUCCAGCCAUGCCGCGUGUGUGAAGAAGGCCUUUUGGUUGUAAAGCACUUUAAGCGAGGAGGAGGCUACUAGUAUUAAUACUACUGGAUAGUGGACGUUACUCGCAGAAUAAGCACCGGCUAACUCUGUGCCAGCCGCCGCCGUAAGAC